rnacentral:rRNA from 1 species
AGAGUUUGAUCAUGGCUCAGGAUGAACGCUAGCUACAGGCUUAACACAUGCAAGUCGAGGGGAAACGACAUCGAAAGCUUGCUUUUGAUAGGCGUCGACCGGCGCACGGGUGAGUAACGCGUAUCCAACCUGCCCAUCACUUGGGGAUAACCUUGCGAAAGUAAGACUAAUACCCAAUGACGUCUCUAGAAGACAUCUGAAAGAGAUUAAAGAUUUAUCGGUGAUGGAUGGGGAUGCGUCUGAUUAGCUUGUGGCGGGGUAACGCCACAAGGCGACGAUCAGUAGGGGUUCUGAGAGGAAGGUCCCCCANAUUGGAACUGAGACACGGUCCAAACUCCUACGGGAGGCA